GGUUAAGCGACUAAGCGUACACGGUGGAUGCCCUGGCAGUCAGAGGCGAUGAAGGGCGUGCUAAUCUGCGAUAAGCGCCGGUAAGGUGAUAUGAACCGUUAUAACCGGCGAUACCCGAAUGGGGAAACCCAGUGUGACUCGUCACACUAUCAUUAACUGAAUCCAUAGGUUAAUGAGGCGAACCGGGGGAACUGAAACAUCUAAGUACCCCGAGGAAAAGAAAUCAACCGAGAUUCCCCCAGUAGCGGCGAGCGAACGGGGAGGAGCCCAGAGCCUGAAUCAGCAUGUGUGUUAGUGGAAGCGUCUGGAAAGGCGCGCGAUACAGGGUGACAGCCCCGUACACAAAAGCGCAUGUGCUGUGAGCUCGAUGAGUAGGGCGGGACACGUGGUAUCCUGUCUGAAUAUGGGGGGACCAUCCUCCAAGGCUAAAUACUCCUGACUGACCGAUAGUGAACCAGUACCGUGAGGGAAAGGCGAAAAGAACCCCGGCGAGGGGAGUGAAAAAGAACCUGAAACCGUGUACGUACAAGCAGUGGGAGCACCCUUUGGGUGUGACUGCGUACCUUUUGUAUAAUGGGUCAGCGACUUAUAUUCUGUAGCAAGGUUAACCGAAUAGGGGAGCCGGAGGGAAACCGAGUCUUAAUUGGGCGUUAAGUUGCAGGGUAUAGACCCGAAACCCGGUGAUCUAGCCAUGGGCAGGUUGAAGGUUGGGUAACACUAACUGGAGGACCGAACCGACUAAUGUUGAAAAAUUAGCGGAUGACCUGUGGCUGGGGGUGAAAGGCCAAUCAAACCGGGAGAUAGCUGGUUCUCCCCGAAAGCUAUUUAGGUAGCGCCUCGUGAAUUCAUCUCCGGGGGUAGAGCACUGUUUCGGCUAGGGGGCCAUCCCGGCUUACCAACCCGAUGCAAACUGCGAAUACCGGAGAAUGUUAUCACGGGAGACACACGGCGGGUGCUAACGUCCGUCGUGAAGAGGGAAACAACCCAGACCGCCAGCUAAGGUCCCAAAGUCAUGGUUAAGUGGGAAACGAUGUGGGAAGGCCCAGACAGCCAGGAUGUUGGCUUAGAAGCAGCCAUCAUUUAAAGAAAGCGUAAUAGCUCACUGGUCGAGUCGGCCUGCGCGGAAGAUGUAACGGGGCUAAACCAUGCACCGAAGCUGCGGCAGCGACACUGUGUGUUGUUGGGUAGGGGAGCGUUCUGUAAGCCUGCGAAGGUGGCCUGUGAGGGUUGCUGGAGGUAUCAGAAGUGCGAAUGCUGACAUAAGUAACGAUAAAGCGGGUGAAAAGCCCGCUCGCCGGAAGACCAAGGGUUCCUGUCCAACGUUAAUCGGGGCAGGGUGAGUCGACCCCUAAGGCGAGGCCGAAAGGCGUAGUCGAUGGGAAACGGGUUAAUAUUCCCGUACUUGGUGUUACUGCGAAGGGGGGACGGAGAAGGCUAUGUUGGCCGGGCGACGGUUGUCCCGGUUUAAGCGUGUAGGCUGGUUUUCCAGGCAAAUCCGGAAAAUCAAGGCUGAGGCGUGAUGACGAGGCACUACGGUGCUGAAGCAACAAAUGCCCUGCUUCCAGGAAAAGCCUCUAAGCAUCAGGUAACAUCAAAUCGUACCCCAAACCGACACAGGUGGUCAGGUAGAGAAUACCAAGGCGCUUGAGAGAACUCGGGUGAAGGAACUAGGCAAAAUGGUGCCGUAACUUCGGGAGAAGGCACGCUGACACGUAGGUGAAGUGAUUUACUCAUGGAGCUGAAGUCAGUCGAAGAUACCAGCUGGCUGCAACUGUUUAUUAAAAACACAGCACUGUGCAAACACGAAAGUGGACGUAUACGGUGUGACGCCUGCCCGGUGCCGGAAGGUUAAUUGAUGGGGUCAGCGCAAGCGAAGCUCCUGAUCGAAGCCCCGGUAAACGGCGGCCGUAACUAUAACGGUCCUAAGGUAGCGAAAUUCCUUGUCGGGUAAGUUCCGACCUGCACGAAUGGCGUAAUGAUGGCCAGGCUGUCUCCACCCGAGACUCAGUGAAAUUGAACUCGCUGUGAAGAUGCAGUGUACCCGCGGCAAGACGGAAAGACCCCGUGAACCUUUACUAUAGCUUGACACUGAACAUUGAGCCUUGAUGUGUAGGAUAGGUGGGAGGCUUUGAAGUGUGGACGCCAGUCUGCAUGGAGCCGACCUUGAAAUACCACCCUUUAAUGUUUGAUGUUCUAACGUGGACCCGUUACCCGGGUUGCGGACAGUGUCUGGUGGGUAGUUUGACUGGGGCGGUCUCCUCCUAAAGAGUAACGGAGGAGCACGAAGGUUGGCUAAUCCUGGUCGGACAUCAGGAGGUUAGUGCAAUGGCAUAAGCCAGCUUGACUGCGAGCGUGACGGCGCGAGCAGGUGCGAAAGCAGGUCAUAGUGAUCCGGUGGUUCUGAAUGGAAGGGCCAUCGCUCAACGGAUAAAAGGUACUCCGGGGAUAACAGGCUGAUACCGCCCAAGAGUUCAUAUCGACGGCGGUGUUUGGCACCUCGAUGUCGGCUCAUCACAUCCUGGGGCUGAAGUAGGUCCCAAGGGUAUGGCUGUUCGCCAUUUAAAGUGGUACGCGAGCUGGGUUUAGAACGUCGUGAGACAGUUCGGUCCCUAUCUGCCGUGGGCGCUGGAGAACUGAGGGGGGCUGCUCCUAGUACGAGAGGACCGGAGUGGACGCAUCACUGGUGUUCGGGUUGUCAUGCCAAUGGCACUGCCCGGUAGCUAAAUGCGGAAGAGAUAAGUGCUGAAAGCAUCUAAGCACGAAACUUGCCCCGAGAUGAGUUCUCCCUGAGACUUAGAGUCUCCUGAAGGAACGUUGAAGACGACGACGUUGAUAGGCCGGGUGUGUAAGCGCAGCGAUGCGUUGAGCUAACCGGUACUAAUGAACCGUGAGGCUUAACCUU
rnacentral:rRNA from 1 species